GUUUUAAUGGGGAGUUGCAGAACGUACAUACGUAGUCAUUAUUUGUAUGUGGCUAGAUAGAGAACUGGGCGAGGUAACAUGAAUCUAGAAACGUGGCGUUUGCUGAAGGUUUUGUACGGUAGCCAAGUGAAGAAAUAUAGUUAGUAGAAAUUACACAGUGGCCGAUUUAGUAUCUCCAAUUAACCUGUCUGCAUGUCUUUGGGAUUGAGGAAACCGGAGUACGCGGAGGAAACCAAGGUGGACACGGGGAAAACAUGCAAACUCCGCACAGAGCUGAGAUUCGAUAACACGACCUUCUUACUGUGCGGCCACAGCGCUACCCACUGCGCCACCGUGCCACCGAUUACAAUGCUUGCUUGGCAAAGCUAUCAAGAAUGAUCAAGGAUGACGUGCCCCUAGCCUCAUAGCUCCAGGCUAGCUCCAGUAAAUAGGCUACUUGCACAACCGCUUCCUUCCCGUAAUUCGUACUGCUCGGUUGUUUCCGGUUUAUCAAUGGCGACCUUCUACACCCGCUGUCAACAGGAGCUCCCAAAGAUAAACAUCACUCGCGUUCAUAGGAUUUUCAAAACGACUAAAGACUCAACCGGCAAAUUGGAGAAAGGCUAUUAAUUAUAUGCCAUGUUGUAUAUUCGUAACUACGAAGCAAUCCGCCAGACCGUCUCCAGAUCUCUUGUGGCAGGCUACCAGAAAUGAGGAGGUUUAAUGUGCUUCGACAGAAACCGGAUCUCUUCAGAGGAGAGGACAUGAUUCGAUUCUAUACACCUGCUCGACCACUCCGCUCUGCAGCAGCUGGGUGCCUUGUACCCUCUCCCACCCGAGUAAAGGGAUCACAGAGCAUCUCCACCCUAGCUCCUUAGUGGUGGAACAAAUUCCCUGUCCCUCUUCAAACCUCUCGCUCUAUACCCAUCUUCCGGCUCGGUCUGAAGAUUCAUCUCUUCAGACUAUACCUGGACUAACUGCCACCACUCUGUGAAUCAUUUCACUUUAAAUCCCCCUUUCAUGCUACUCAUGUUACAUGUACCCCCAUUCCAGCACUUUUUGUAAUUUGUAUUUUAGUCCUAAUAUUGUAGCUUGUUUUUCUCCCUAGUUUGCCUUGACAUAAGCUUGGUCAGAAUAAUGUUCACUGCAUGAACUGAACUGUGUUCUUGGCUAUAAAUAACGGUACAAAAUGAGUAUUGUACCUUAUUGAACCUGUGUUUUGUGCUUGUCAUUGGACCAUGAUAUGCACUUUUGUAUGGCGCUUAGGAUAAAAGCAUCUGCUAAAUAAAUGUUAAAUGUGAAUGAUUUCCAAUCCAUCGGUACCAGAAAAAGCAUUUUGAAUUUUUAGGUGGAAAUACUUUAUUGAUCAUAAAAUUGUUAAAACACAUUGUAAUUGAUUUAUUUCAUCACAGCUGUAUUAUAAACAUGAUUUCUGAUUCAUCGGUACCAAAAAAAAUGCAUUUCGGAACGGGUGCCGCUUUUGACCCUUUUUGGACAUAAGACUAUAGUCUUAUGUAUUUUGCCAUUUUCCAUGAAAACACAUUAUUGAUCAUAAAAUUGUUAAAACACAUUGUAGUUGAUUUAUUUCAUCACAGCUGUAUUAUAAACAUGAUUUCUGAUUCAUCGGUACCAAAAAAAAUGCAUUUCGGAACGGGGGCCGCUUUUGACCCUUUUUGGACAUAAGACUAUAGUC